rnacentral:rRNA from 1 species
UACGUAGGGGGCAAGCGUUAUCCGGAUUUACUGGGUGUAAAGGGAGCGUAGACGGCAGUGCAAGUCUGGAGUGAAAGGCGGGGGCUCAACCCCCGGACUGCUCUGGAAACUGUACGGCUGGAGUGCAGGAGAGGUAAGUGGAAUUCCUAGUGUAGCGGUGAAAUGCGUAGAUAUUAGGAGGAACACCAGUGGCGAAGGCGGCUUACUGGACUGUAACUGACGCUGAGGUUCGAAAGCGUGGGUAGCAAACAGG